rnacentral:rRNA from 1 species
UCGAGAAUUUUUCUCAAUGGGCGCAAGCCUGAAGGAGCGACGCCGCGUGGGGGAUGAAGGGUUUCGAUCCGUAAACCCCUGUCAUUUGUGAACAAUGGUUAUCCGUGAAUAACGGAUGACUUGAUAGUAAUGAAAGAGGAAGGGACGGCUAACUCUGUGCCAGCAGCCGCGGUAAUACAGAGGUCCCAAGCGUUGUUCGGAUUCACUGGGCGUAAAGGGUGCGUAGGUGGCGGGGUAAGUUUGAUGUGAAAGCUCAGGGCUUAACCCUGAAAUGGCAUUGAAUACUACUCUGCUGGAGGUUUGGAGGGGGGACUGGAAUUCUUGGUGUAGCAGUGAAAUGCGUAGAUAUCAAGAGGAACACCAGUGGCGAAGGCGAGUCCCUGGACAACACCUGACACUGAGGCACGAAAGCUAGGGGAGCAAACAG